AAUUUUGGACAAUGGGGGCAACCCUGAUCCAGCCAUCCCGCGUGUGCGAUGAAGGCCUUCGGGUUGUAAAGCACUUUUGGCAGGGAAGAAACGGCGUCUCGUAAUAUGGGGCGUCACUGACGGUACCUGCAGAAUAAGCACCGGCUAACUACGUGCCAGCAGCCGCGGUAAUACGUAGGGUGCGAGCGUUAAUCGGAAUUACUGGGCGUAAAGCGUGCGCAGGCGGUUCGGAAAGAAAGAUGUGAAAUCCCAGGGCUUAACCCUGGAACUGCAUUUUUAACUCCCGGGCUAGAGUGUGUCAGAGGGGGGUAGAAUUCCACGUGUAGCAGUGAAAUGCGUAGAGAUGUGGAGGAAUACCGAUGGCGAAGGCAGCCCCCUGGGACAACACUGACGCUCAGGCACGAAAGCGUGGGGAGCAAAC
rnacentral:rRNA from 1 species